rnacentral:rRNA from 1 species
UACGUAGGGGGCAAGCGUUAUCCGGAUUUACUGGGUGUAAAGGGAGCGUAGACGGAAUUGCAAGUCUGGUGUGAAAAUCCGGGGCCCAACCCCGGAACUGCAUUGGAAACUGUAUUUCUAGAGUGUCGGAGAGGCAAGUGGAAUUCCUGGUGUAGCGGUGAAAUGCGUAGAUAUCAGGAGGAACACCAGUGGCGAAGGCGGCUUGCUGGACGAUGACUGACGUUGAGGCUCGAAAGCGUGGGGAGCAAACAGG